CGGGAAGUCCUCGAUGCUGCACC
rnacentral:rRNA from 1 species